AGGCAGCAUGGGGGAAUAUUGCACAAUGGGGGAAACCCUGAUGCAGCCAUGCCGCGUGUGUGAAGAAGGCCUUCGGGUUGUAAAGCACUUUCAGUAGGGAGGAAGGUAGUGUAGUUAACACCUGCAUUAUUUGACGUUACCUACAGAAGAAGCACCGGCUAACUCCGUGCCAGCAGCCGCGGUAAUACGGAGGGUGCGAGCGUUAAUCGGAAUUACUGGGCGUAAAGCGCAUGCAGGCGGCCUGUUAAGUCAGAUGUGAAAGCCCGGGGCUUAACCUCGGAAUUGCAUUUAGAAACUGGCAGGCUAGAGUCUUGUAGAGGGGGGUAGGAAUUUCAGGUGUAGCGGUGAAAUGCGUAGAGAUCUGAAGGAAUACCAGUGGCGAAGGCGGCCCCCUGGACAAAGACUGACGCUCAGAUGCGAAAGCGUGGGGAGCAAACAGGAUUAGAUACCCUGGUAG
rnacentral:rRNA from 1 species